GCAAACUUGGUCAUUUAGAGGAAGUAAAAGUCGUAACAAGGUCUCCGUUGGUGAACCAGCGGAGGGAUCAUUACAGAGUUGCAAAACUCCCACACCCUCGCGAACGUACCCGUCCCGUUGCUUCGGCGGGCCGCCCCGGGGCCGCCCCGCGGUCCCUAAGCGCCCCGCCGAAGGCCCUAAACCCUGUGUCCUGUGGUGGCCUCUCUGAGUUACCAUAUCGAAUCAGUCAAAACUUUCAACAACGGAUCUCUUGGUUCUGGCAUCGAUGAAGAACGCAGC
rnacentral:misc_RNA from 1 species